GAUGCAGGGUGCGCGAUAGAUGAUAACGAUAGCCGAAAGGAAGGCCCCGACGGAAGAACAACGAAGCCUGAGGAGAGCUGCGCUGCUCGGGUUAACUCUCCUCGGUUGCCUAGGCAACGGUCCCGCAUGCGCCAGGCAGGCAUAGACGUUACCACGGCAGAACGCUGUUGGGACCUGGCUGCGGUCGACGUGUCUGGGUGUGCGGUGUGCCUGCUGUGAGAUCCCCGAGCUGCAUUCCGUGUCAGUUUCCAGCGCCACCAUACGUCCUUCUAGCCAGGCCAUCGGGAGGUGGGCAGCCUCGUUCACGUUUCACGGGCGGUUUGAACGGUGCAUUUACCCUCGGCGAAAUAACUUAAUGCCAGUGACAUUGUAAUGCCUGUACAGUACAGGUUAACUCUGCUCGGUCGCCUAGGAAACGGCUGGUCAUGAGCAAUGCCGUGUGAAAGUGGCACAAUGCUAUCGGGUCCUGGCUGCGCGGACGACGUGGCUUCGAGUGAGCGCAUUGCAAAGGAGGACACCAGAGUACAAGAGCAAGCCCACGUACGGUGAUCGACAAGGAUACGGCGAAAACACGCAGUUCAUCGCAGCUGGGGCAGAUGGUGCCAUCCGUUCGCUAGGAGUCGAAUCAACAUGUUUUGAGUGACGUCACCACAGACGACACCGACUUCAGAUUUAUUGUGGACGAAACCAGAUAGGUGCAGGAAGGUGUGCUGCUUGUGGCAUCGCGGGAACUGGAGCCGUGUUCCGUGUCGGCGCCACCAGGUGUCCUCCUCGCCAGUUCAACAAGACAACAAGGAGUGCGUGGGGCCAACUACCGUGCGAGUCCCGGCGCCACCAGACGUCCUCCUGGACAGCUGAAGCAGGUGUGCGUGGCCUUGGAUCCUCAAGCCGGCCUCCCGUCAGUCCCGGCGCCAGCAGACGUUCUCCUACCGGCCAAUCCAGAGGAGAUUACAGUAUGCCGGAGAUGGCAAGAUGCAAGCUUCAUCCACCACGAGGGCUGCUCCGCACAUAUUGCACACAUUCGUGAAAACAGGUUCUGUCCCAGGGAGUACUUGCAAGAGUUGCGCAUGAUUUGGUCUACGAUGCCCAUAACCGCCGGAAUUCUCCCGGAUGAUAAUAAAGCAAUGAAACAAAGCCUUCUAUGCGGCGCAAACAAGCAUAAAAGCCUUGGCGCACGCAAUGAGCACUUCCAGUUGUU